GACGACGCUGGCGGCGUGCUUAACACAUGCAAGUCGAACGAGUGGCGGACGGGUGAGUAAUGUCUGGGAAACUGCCUGAUGGAGGGGGAUAACUACUGGAAACGGUAGCUAAUACCGCAUACCAUCGGAUGUGCCCAGAUGGGAUUAGCUAGUAGGUGGGGUAAAGGCUAACCUAGGCGACGAUCCCUAGCUGGUCUGAGCGGGUGACCAGCCACACUGGAACGUGGAAACGGUCCAGACUCCUACGGAAGGCAGAAGUGGGGAAUAUUGCACAAUGGGCGCAAGCCUGAUGCAGCCAUGCCGCGUGGAUGAAGAAGGCCUUCGGGUUGUAAAGUACUUUCAGCGGGGAGGCGUUACCCGCAGAAGAAGCACCGGCUAACUCCGUGCCAGCAGCCGCGGUAAUAC
rnacentral:rRNA from 1 species